rnacentral:rRNA from 1 species
AAUAGAUACCCUGGUAGUCCACGCCCUAAACGAUGCGCACUAGAUCGAGGCGGCUCUGACGUCGUCUCGGUCGCAGAGAAAUCAUUAAGUGCGCCGCCUGGGGAGUACGGUCGCAAGGCUAAAACUCAAAGGAAUUGACGGGGGCUCACACAAGCGGUGGAGCAUGUGGUUUAAUUCGAAGCAACGCGAAGAACCUUACCAGGUCUUGACAUCCCGCUGACCGGCAUGGAGACAUGUCUUUCCCUUCGGGGACAGCGGUGACAGGUGGUGCAUGGUUGUCGUCAGCUCGUGUCGUGAGAUGUUGGGUUAAGUCCCGCAACGAGCGCAACCCUUGAUCUUAGUUGCCAGCAUUCAGUUGGGCACUCUAAGGUGACUGCCGGUGACAAACCGGAGGAAGGUGGGGAUGACGUCAAAUCAUCAUGCCCCUUAUGACCUGGGCUACACACGUGCUACAAUGGACGGUACAAAGGGCUGCGAACCCGGCGAGGGGGAGCCAAUCCCAUAAAACCGUUCCCAGUUCGGAUUGCGA